ACGCCAACACGCCAAGCACAAAAACAAAUGCAAAACCAAGUUUACAAAAUGGUGGGGCCUUGCUGGAGAUAAUUCAUGUCCUCUAUGGCUGAGACUGCUAACUGGAGCAAGGUGUGUCUUGUUGAUAAUGAUACUAAUGGAGAAAAAGAACUAGAAAAUCUGAAGUGAUAACAUCCCAGAGUGCUAUGUGGCAGUUACAAAGGGGGGAAGAGAAGGAAGAGAAGUAUGAAGUACCUGCUUUGCCAGCCUUGGAUGAGGUUGGUGUAUUCGCGCAGAGAGCCCUCGAGCACCAUCUCCUUCUUCCUGAGUAAAUUGAGUAGCAGCAGUCCAGAGUUGGCAGACGCUACUUUUAAAGAUAGUCUCCAAGAUGACCUAAAUGUCAGAGAAACACAAAAAUAUGAUAUAGAAAACCUUCUCCU